rnacentral:rRNA from 1 species
AUUGGUGUUCUUGUUAAACUGCUUUGCUGCGCCAAUCCAUCCCGAACUUGGCUGUUAAACAAUUUAAGGGUUAAAAUACUUAGGGGGUAGCCCCUCGGGAAGAUAGCCUAAUGCCAAU